GCCUGGGUGGCUCAGUUGGUUGAGCGGCCGACUUCAGCUCAGGUCAUGAUCUCGUGGUCCGUGGGUUCAAACCCCGCAUCGGGCU
rnacentral:tRNA from 1 species